rnacentral:rRNA from 1 species
UGGGGAAUUGUUCGCAAUGGGCGCAAGCCUGACGACGCAACGCCGCGUGAAGGAUGAAGUAUUUUGGUAUGUAAACUUCGAAAGAAUAGGAAGAAUAAAUGACGGUACUAUUUAUAAGGUCCGGCUAACUACGUGCCAGCAGCCGCGGUAAUACGUAGGGACCAAGCGUUGUUCGGAUUUACUGGGCGUAAAGGGCGCGUAGGCGGCAAUUCAAGUCAUCUGUGAAAUCUCCGGGCUUAACUCGGAACGGUCAGAUGAUACUGCUUUGCUAGAGUGCAGAAGGGGCAAUCGGAAUUCUUGGUGUAGCGGUGAAAUGCGUAGAUAUCAAGAGGAACACCUGAGGUGAAGACGGGUUGCUGGGCUGACACUGACGCUGAGGCGCGAAAGCCAGGGGAGCAAACGGGAUUAGAUACCCAAGUAGUCCCUGAGCGGGCUGGCAAGGCGCAU